rnacentral:rRNA from 1 species
CCAGACUCCUACGGGAGGCAGCAGCGGGGAAUAUUGGACAAUGGGCGCAAGCCUGAUCCAGCCAUACCGCGUGGGUGAAGAAGGCCUUCGGGUUGUAAAGCCCUUUUGUUGGGAAAGAAAUCCAGCUGGCUAAUACCCGGUUGGGAUGACGGUACCCAAAGAAUAAGCACCGGCUAACUUCGUGCCAGCAGCCGCGGUAAUACGAAGGGUGCAAGCGUUACUCGGAAUUACUGGGCGUAAAGCGUGCGUAGGUGGUCGUUUAAGUCCGUUGUGAAAGCCCUGGGCUCAACCUGGGAACUGCAGUGGAUACUGGGCGACUAGAGUGUGGUAGAGGGUAGCGGAAUUCCUGGUGUAGCAGUGAAAUGCGUAGAGAUCAGGAGGAACAUCCAUGGCGAAGGCAGCUACCUGGACCAACACUGACACUGAGGCACGAAAGCGUGGGGAGCAAACAGGAUUAGAUACCCUGGUAGUCCACGCCCUAAACGAUGCGAACUGGAUGUUGGGUGCAAUUUGGCACGCAGUAUCGAAGCUAACGCGUUAAGUUCGCCGCCUGGGGAGUACGGUCGCA